rnacentral:rRNA from 1 species
UACGUAGGGCGCAAGCGUUAUCCGGAAUUAUUGGGCGUAAAGAGCGCGUAGGCGGCUCGUUAAGUGUGAAGUGAAAUCUCCAGGGCUCAACCCGGAAACUGCUUUACAUACUGGCGAGCUAGAGGAAUGCAGAGGUUAGUGGAAUUCCUGGUGUAGCGGUGAAAUGCGUUGAUAUCAGGAGGAACACCCAUGGCGAAGGCAGCUAACUGGGCAUUAU